rnacentral:rRNA from 1 species
UACGUAGGGUGCAAGCGUUGUCCGGAAUUAUUGGGCGUAAAGAGCUCGUAGGCGGUUUGUCGCGUCUGCUGUGAAAACGCGAGGCUCAACCUCGCGCCUGCAAGUGGGUGACGGGCAGACUAGAGUACGGUGAGGGGAUGGAAUUCCGCGUGUAGCAGUGAAAUGCGUAGAUAUGCGGAGGAACACCGAUGGCGAAGGCAGCCCCCUGGGUUAACACUGACGCUCAGGCACGGAAAGCGUGGGGAGCAAACAGG